CCCAAGGGCACGGGGGGGAUGCCUAGGCGUCGAGCGCAAAACCGGGCGUGGAAGGCUGCGAGAAGCGCGGGGGAGCGGCCAAACGCGCGUCGAUCCCGCGAUACCCGGUACAACCCGGGGAACUGAAACAUCUCAGUACCCGGAGGAAGAGAAAGCAACCGCGACUCCCUCAGUAGCGGCGAGCGAACGGGGACCAGCCUAAACCGGCCGGCACGACCGGCCGGGGUCGUGGGGUCCAUCAUUACAGGAUCCGAAUCUGAUAGCCGAAGCGUGCUGGAACGCACCGCCGGAGCGGGUGAGAGCCCCGUAGGCGACAUUGGAGGAGGCCUGGAUGGAUACCCGAGUAAGAUCGGGCACGUGAAACCCGGUCCGAAUCCGCGGGGACCCUCCCGCAAGGCUCAGUACGACUCGACGACCGAUAGCGAACCCAGUAGGGCGACCGAACGGUGGGAAGAACCCCGACAGGGGAGGACACUGAACCUGAAACCCCGUGCCUACAAGCGGUGGGAGGGCGAUGCCUUCGGGCCGCCUGACCGCGUGCCUUUUGCAUAAUGAUCCGGCGAGUUAUCGUAUCCGGCUAGGGUUAACCCCUUCAGGGGGGGAGCCGCAGGGAAACCGAGUCUGAACAGGGCGACGUUGUCGGGUGCGAUAGACGCGAAACCAGGUGAACUACCCAUGGGCAGGCUGAAGCGGCCUUAACCGGCCGUGGAGGGCCGAACCCACCAGUGUUGAAAAACUGGGGGAUGACCCGUGGGGAGGAGUCAAAGUCUUAUCAAACCUGGAGAUAGCUCGUUCUCUCCGAAAUGGCUUUAGGGCCAGCCUCGGGAGCUACCCGCUGGGGGUAGAGCGACGGAAUCCGGCUGGGGGGUUUCCCACCUACCCACCGGAACCCAACUCCGAAUACCAGCGGGCCUGACCCCGGGAGUCAGAGCGUGGGGGAUAAGCUUCACGCUCGAGAGGGAAACAACCCAGACCGCCGACCAAGGCCCCCAAGACGACGCUUAGUGGCAAAGGAAGUGGGACCGCGGUGACAGCCGGGAUGUUGGCUUAGAAGCAGCCACCAUUUCAAAAGUGCGUAACAGCUUACCGGUCGAGCCGUCCCGCGCCGAAAAUGACGGGGACUGAAGCGUCGCGCCGCAGUCGCGGAUUGGAGCUAAUCCGAUGGUAGGAGAGCGUCGCUGUCAGCAGCGAAGCGGGACCGGUAAGGACCCGUGGAGCGGCAGCGAGUGCGUAUGCCGGAACGAGUAACGAUAAGACGGGUGGGAAGCCCGUCCGCCGAAAGCCCAAGGUUUCCUGGGGAAGGUCAAUCCGCCCAGGGUUAGUCGGGACCUAAGGCGAGGCCCAAGGGCGUAGCCGAUGGACAGGCGGUUAAUAUUCCGCCACCCCGCGUGGAGGUUGAAGGCGGGUGACGCCGCCGCAGGGGGGAUCGGGCCGCCAGAAUGGCCCGUUCCGCAAGGACGACGGCACUUCGAUCCGGAAGUCCCCCUGAGCGGUGGCCACGAAAAACCCCGUCCGGACAAGACGCGGGCCCGUACCGCAAUCCGACACAGGUGGGCCGGGCGAGCAUCCUCAGGCGUUCGGGAGAACCCUCGUGAAGGAACUCGGCAAAAUGACCCCGUACCUUCGGUACAAGGGGUGCUCACAUGGCGACAUGUGAGCCGCAGAGAAUCGGCUCUAGCGACUGUUUACCAAAAACACAGGACUCUGCCAACUCGCAAGAGGACGUAUAGAGUCUGACGCCUGCUCGGUGUCGGUAGGUUAAGGGAGCCGGUGACCGCAAGGGCAGCUGGCGACCGAAGCCCCGAUAAACGGCGGCCGUAACUAUGACGGUCCUAAGGUAGCGAAGUUCCUUGUCGGGUAAGUUCCGACCUGCAUGAAUGGCGUAACGACUGGAGCACUGUCUCCACGAGGGACCCGGUGAAACUGUAGCCGUGGUGAAGAUGCCACGUACCCGCGGUCAGACGGAAAGACCCCGUGAACCUUUACUGCAGGUUGGCACUGGGCGAGCGUUCGUUCUGUGUAGCAUAGGUGGGAGGCUGCGAUCCGGCGGCGCCAGCCGUCGGGGAGCCACCGGUGAAAUACCACCCUGAAUGCGCGCCCGUCCUCACCGGUCGAGUGCAGCCUCGGCCGGGACCGUGCUCAUCGGGCAGUUUGACUGGGGCGGUCUCCUCCCAAACGGUAACGGAGGAGCGCAAUGGUGCCCUCGGCCCGGUCGGCAAUCGGGCAACACGAGCGCAAACGUACAAGGGCGCCUGACUGCGAGACCCAUCAGUCGAGCAGGGACGAAAGUCGGCGUUAGUGAUCCGGCGGUCCGGUAUGGAACGGCCGUCGCUCAACGGAUAAAAGGUACUCCGGGGAUAACAGGCUGAUCUCCCCCGAGCGUCCACAGCGGCGGGGAGGUUUGGCACCUCGAUGUCGGCUCAUCGCAUCCUGGGGCUGGAGAAGGUCCCAAGGGUUUGGCUGUUCGCCAAUGAAAGCGGUACGCGAGCUGGGUUCAGACCGUCGUGAGACAGGUCGGUCCCUAUCUGCCGUGGGCGUGGGAAGCUUGCGGAGGGUCUCCCCUAGUACGAGAGGAUUGGGGAGGACCGACCUCUGGUGUGCCUGCUGUCCCGCUCGGGGCACCGCAGGGUAGCCAGGUCGGGUACGGAUAAGCGCUGAAGGCAUCUAAGCGCGAAGCCGGCUCCAAGAUCAGGCUUCCAGCACCAUUGGGUGCGAAGGCUCCUGGAAGACGACCAGGUCGAUAGGCCGGACGUGCACGGUGGGCGACCACUUCAGCCGACCGGUCCUAACAGCCAAGCGGCUUG
rnacentral:rRNA from 1 species